AKCAUCUCCUUCACGCCUCUUCAUUUUUUGGCGCAAGCACGUUCUCGGCCAAAAUCGGGUUUCCUGUGCUAGAUACCUAUCUCGAAGGAAUUUGGUGGGCUAUAAUUGUUGCCUUUCCGUCGUGUACCGCUGCUCCUUACUGGGGAAGUGGUGCGUGGCGGACCUCAAGGCAUUCGCCGUGUUUCGCACCGUGUCCAACUAUACGGGUGUUUCGGUUGCUGAGCCACGGCGCAAUGCUCGAUAUCUCGGGUGCGGAAAAUCUAGUGGGUACGAGGCCGUUGGCCUCCGAUCACCACAACAACAAGCGUUCUAUGCUUCGUGCGAGCGACGGGUUGGCUCGAUCUUCGAACGGGCUCUAGCAGCCUGAUUGGAGUCGUGCCGGCGUCGG
rnacentral:misc_RNA from 1 species